GAUGAAGAACGUAGCGAAAUGCGAUAAGUAAUGUGAAUUGCAGAAUUCAGUGAAUCAUCGAAUCUUUGAACGCACAUUGCGCCCCCUGGUAUUCCGGGGGGCAUGCCUGUUCGAGCGUCAUUUCACCACUCAAGCCUCGCUUGGUAUUGGGCAACGCGGUCCGCCGCGUGCCUCAAAUCGACCGGCUGGGUCUUCUGUCCCCUAAGCGUUGUGGAAACUAUUCGCUAAAGGGUGUUCGGGAGGCUACGCCGUAAAACAACCCCAUUUCUAAGGUUGACCUCGUAUCAGGUAGGGAUACCCGCUGAACUUAAGCAUAUCAAUAAGCGGAGGA
rnacentral:misc_RNA from 1 species